AUACUGAGGGUGCAAGCGUUAAUCGGAAUUACUGGGCGUAAAGCGCGCGUAGGCGGUUAAAUAAGUCAGAUGUGAAAUCCCUGGGCUCGACCUAGGAACUGCAUCUGAAACUGUUUAACUAGAGUUUUGGAGAGGUAAGUGGAAUUUCCGGUGUAGCGGUGAAAUGCAUAGAGAUCGGAAGGAACACCAGUGGCGAAGGCGACUUACUGGCCAAAAACUGACGCUGAGGUGCGAAAGCGUGGGUAGCGAACAGGAUUAGAAACCCUAGUAGUCC
rnacentral:rRNA from 1 species